rnacentral:rRNA from 1 species
AUUAACGCUGGCGGCGUGCCUAAUCCAUGCAAGUCGAGCAAACAGACGAGGAGCUUGCUCCUCUGACGUUAGCGGCGGACGGGUGAGUAACACGUGGAUAACCUACCUAUAAGACUGGGAUAACUUCGGGAAACCGGAGCUAAUACCGGAUAAUAUAUUGAACCGCAUGGUUCAAUAGUGAAAGACGGUUUUGCUGUCACUUAUAGAUGGAUCCGCGCCGCAUUAGCUAGUUGGUAAGGUAACGGCUUACCAAGGCGACGAUGCGUAGCCGACCUGAGAGGGUGAUCGGCCACACUGGAACUGAGACACGGUCCAGACUCCUACGGGAGGCAGCAGUAGGGAAUCUUCCGCAAUGGGCGAAAGCCUGACGGAGCAACGCCGCGUGAGUGAUGAAGGUCUUCGGAUCGUAAAACUCUGUUAUUAGGGAAGAACAAAUGUGUAAGUAACUAUGCACGUCUUGACGGUACCUAAUCAGAAAGCCACGGCUAACUACGUG